rnacentral:antisense_RNA from 1 species
GCACACCCGGUUCUGCCACCGAAGCGGCGGAGCGACCGGCAGCGCCCGCUUACGCCUGCCCCACUGGCGGGCAUCCCAGGGUUAACAAACAAUUGUGUUUAUUGACAAGUUCAUACAUCAGUACAAACGGGCACGUUAAAAACCCCCCGCCCCAUGCAGCCGAGGAGGAGGCGGGAAGCGCCGCGACCUACACAAAGUGUUCCACAUAAGCCAGGGUGGUGAAGCUGAGGCAGGAUGUGAGGAAACCAGGCACACAGCAGCCAGCCGGAUACUCUAGCAACCCAACACUCAACAGCGUGCUAUGCAGCAGGGCCUGUGUCUGCUCGGCUCCCACAGCCCCAGGGCUGCUGCCUGGGCUGGACAGCACUGCCCCAGCCACAGCUUCCAGCUCCUGUCGCACUGAAGAGAAGGUGUCUCUGAGGAGCUGGGUGAUCCGACUUUGCUCUGCUGAGGGCAUCUUGCAGCCAGCCACCUGAAACAGGACCCCCAGAAGUGAGGUGGAGGAGCCUGUCAACAGACAUAUAAAAGGGAGGGGCCCCACCUGGGUCCAGCCUGCCUCAGAAGGGACUAGCUAGGAACUCU